rnacentral:snRNA from 1 species
AGCUUUGCGCAGUGGCGAUAUCGUAACCGAUGAGGUUCUACCGAGGUGCGAUUAUUGCUAGUUGAAAACUUUUACCAAUACCCCGCCAAGACGAUGUGAAAUACCAUCGGCUUAUGGCAAUUUUUGAUAACCCUUACGGGGG